rnacentral:rRNA from 1 species
UGGGGAAUAUUGCACAAUGGGCGCAAGCCUGAUGCAGCCAUGCCGCGUGUGUGAAGAAGGCCUUCGGGUUGUAAAGCACUUUCAGCGGGGAGGAAGGGAGUAAAGUUAAUACCUUUGCUCAUUGACGUUACCCGCAGAAGAAGCACCGGCUAACUCCGUGCCAGCAGCCGCGGUAAUACGGAGGGUGCAAGCGUUAAUCGGAAUUACUGGGCGUAAAGCGCACGCAGGCGGUUUGUUAAGUCAGAUGUGAAAUCCCCGGGCUCAACCUGGGAACUGCAUCUGAUACUGGCAAGCUUGAGUCUCGUAGAGGGGGGUAGAAUUCCAGGUGUAGCGGUGAAAUGCGUAGAGAUCUGGAGGAAUACCGGUGGCGAAGGCGGCCCCCUGGACGAAGACUGACGCUCAGGUGCGAAAGCGUGGGGAGCAAACAGG